GACGAACGCUGGCGGCGUGCCUAACACAUGCAAGUCGAGCGAUGAAGUUUCCUUCGGGAAAUGGAUUAGCGGCGGACGGGUGAGUAACACGUGGGUAACCUGCCUCAUAGAGGGGAAUAGCCUCCCGAAAGGGAGAUUAAUACCGCAUAACAUUGCAGUUUCGCAUGAAACAGCAAUUAAAGGAGCAAUCCGCUAUGAGAUGGACCCGCGGUGCAUUAGCUAGUUGGUGAGGUAACGGCUCACCAAGGCCACGAUGCAUAGCCGACCUGAGAGGGUGAUCGGCCACACUGGGACUGAGACACGGCCCAG
rnacentral:rRNA from 1 species